UACGUAGGGGGCAAGCGUUGUCCGGAUUUAUUGGGCGUAAAGAGCGUGUAGGCGGUUUGGUAGGUCCGCUGUGAAAACUCGAGGCUCAACCUCGAGACGCCGGUGGAAACCAUCAGACUAGAGUCCGGAAGAGGAGAGUGGAAUUCCUGGUGUAGCGGUGAAAUGCGCAGAUAUCAGGAAGAACACCGGUGGCGAAGGCGGAUCUCUGGGCCGUAACUGACGCUGAGGAGCGAAAGCAUGGGGAGCGAACAGG
rnacentral:rRNA from 1 species